AGACAGCAGUAGCCGCGGGAAUACGGAGGGUGCAAGCGUUAAUCGGAAUUACUGGGCGUAGAGCGCACGCAGGCGGUUUGUUAAGUCAGAUGUGAAAUCCCCGAGCUUAACUUGGGAACUGCAUUUGAAACUGGCAAGCUAGAGUCUUGUAGAGGGGGGUAGAAUUCCAGGUGUAGCGGUGAAAUGCGUAGAGAUCUGGAGGAAUACCGGUGGCGAAGGCGGCCCCCUGGACAAAGACUGACGCUCAGGUGCGAAAGCGUGGGGAGCAAACAGGAUUAGAUACCCGCGUAGUCCCUGUCUUUAUACA
rnacentral:rRNA from 1 species